UAAUGGACCUAACAAGUUCUCUGGGAGGUUGCACUGCUUUCGCAAAAUCCAACAAAGGCUCUGCCGUCAUGUUUCUAUAGAAUCCAUUGAAAGUAAUUUCAUUGCUUGGUUCACUUAUGUGUUGACCUCCAGAGGCACAUGAAUAACAACAGCUGAAGUAAACUCACUCCUGUCUGCUACACCUGUGAGGGGCACGGAAGCCCACUCCAAGAACAGCACAUGUUAUGGAGGAACAGUGAUUACAAGACUCUGCUCUUGUUUGCUUGAAGUUUUCUUGCAAGCUCUCAGAAAUCCCCUCAUACAGCUUCAUUUGUGAACUGUGUCUUUCUUCUCUUCUCCUAAGAUGCCAGUUCUGACUAGAGGGGUGCUGUGCAGUUCAAACUGGCUUUAAUACCCUCCUGCCUUUUACUCCAAGUGAUAUGACAGUCUUGCUAUGUGGCCCAUGCUGUCCCUGAAUUUGCUAUCCUGAGGCUAACCCCAAACUAGCAAUUUUCACGCUUCAAUCUCUCAAGUCAUGCACCACCAUACCUUGCUUUAACAUGUCUUUUAGGAGACAUAAUUCAACCUGAAGCAGCAAUUAUCAGAAUCCCUCCUCUCUCUCAUCGAUUGGACUCCUGGAACUCUGCCUGGGACCCAGCCGUGGAUUUCUGCAUCUGCUUCCUUCAGUCACUGGAUGAGGGUUCUAUGAUACCACCCUGAACGUGUCCAAUCUUGUCUGAAAACAAUUUCUAAGCAAAUUCAUCUAUUCCUAUUUAUCCUGGGAAUAUUUAGAUAUGAUGGUGCAGUAAUAAUUGAAUGUAUAGUAAUGUUAAGUUGCAUUUCAAUUAGUACUAUGUUUUCUACGUGCAUGUUAGAUAAAAGAGACAAUUUAAAGUUUAGCACAAACUUAUAUGCAAUUUAACUCUGAUACGUCAUGGACUGUGUCCUUCUAAGAUUGUACCUGUAAAUUUGCAAGGCUUUUCUUGCAUUUGUAUGUUGAUUAGAUGAAAUAGACAUUCUGCAGAGUUAAAAUUAAAAUGUACAGACCCGUAUGAGGGUCAGUCAGCAAGGAUUGCUUUCUAAAUUUUAUGUCCCCAGACAGCCAUCAGGCAGCCAGCAGAAAAAUGCAUUGGAAGCCAUGGAGUCUUCAGUUUUUAUCUCUGACAUUAUGCUGAGAGUCGACAGAUGGAAGCCCAGCAGCAGACAUGCAAAGUGGAUGCCAAAUGAGGCACAUAUAUAUAGCAGAGUGGUGCCCUACCCAGGUGGUCAUCUUCUCCUCUCCAGAACCUUUAACAUGGCUCACUCCACACUUGACUAUGCUGUAGCGAUAUUGACAUGUUCUUCAGUCAUUGGCGAAUGUCAGUGGGCUCUUGGCUCUCUGCGUAGGGAACUUUGGUAUGCUCUCUGCUCUGUACAUAUGUCCAAGCUGGCAGCCAGUUGGCAUGGCUGCUGAUGUGUCUCUAUCUGUCAGAUCUCCUCAUCACCUUUGGGAUAGAAAGAGGCGAUAUGAGUAUGUCAGCAAGAAUGUUAUCAUUGGCCGAGGAAAGAUAUCCAGGGAAAUGAAAAUUUAGCGAUAUUUUAAAAGUAACUUCAAAAAUUACCAUCUCAACUAGGGAUCCAUUUAUCUUUGGGAAUAUAGUAAAAAUCUAAUUAAAGGUGGAAAGACUUGCAAUCAUUUUAGACAAGACUUUCAUAGUAGGCAAAGAGUGAAGCAAACUGUGAACAAAUGUGCCCCAAAGACCAAGGGGAUGGAGCAGGAGAGAUGCUUUCCUAACAAAGCAUCAUGUAGUACAUUCAAACAAAAAUGAUUACAUUUUAAUUGACCAAAAUCACAAUUAUAGAUGCAUUAAAUAGAAUCUUGUACAUGUUUUACAUAUGCACCAUGACCAUGUUUUAGACAGUUUUAGGAUGACAUAUACCUGUAAUGUCUGCCUUUCACAUUUAUUCUGUUCAUUACCACCUAACAGAAGAUAGACAAGUCAUUUGUGCUUCAAAUUUAUUAGAUAACCUUGAAAUAAUUGGUUGAACUGGCUCCAUUUUAAACGAACUUCUCCAUCAUCUUUUCAUUUCAGUGAUGCUAUAUGUGAUUGUUAGAUUCAUUAAUCCAUCUAUUCACAUCAACAAUUAUUUACUGAACUCAUUACCUCCUGUCCAACACUUUAAGCAAUUUCUCUGAUUAUGCUCCCUAAUUAAUUUCAUGAAAUCAAAAUCCACUCACUCAAGACAAGAACUUUAAGAAUCAUCCUUGACUUUUCCCUUUCACUCACUUCUCACAAGCAAUCCAUUCUUAUCUUCUGCAGUCCAUUUCCUAAACAUCACAGAUGAGUUACCUUGUAUAAAAAAAUCAGAAGCAGUAUUCUGAUCCUUUGGAUUUCAGUAGUCUGUCAUAGCACUUAAUAACAGAGCUUUAGGGAAUAUGCCACUGCCACACCAUCUUGUGAUAGUGUGCGUUAUUCACAAAAGGAUGAAUAUUAGCAUUUUCAGUCAUUUGUGGGAGGUUAGUUAUGGAACAGCUGCAGCAACAAGUUCAAAUUCAGGGAUAUGUUUUUCAUCUUGAACUGGGAUGGUGGUAGACAACUGUUUAUUUAGAUAUGGAAGAGUUGUCAGAAUGUUCUUUUGCAGCUAAAUGUAUCACUUCCCUGAUAACCCCUAUAUUAGGAAUGGAAAACAAACCUAAGUUUUGCAAAAGUGAUCUUUCCAGGAUGGAAACUCAGAAGAGAUCUAUGACUGUGGGUUCCUGAGCAACCUGAAUCUAGAAUAACAUUUCUAGUCCAUUACAGCUAUCAGAAGGGUUUUUAUGUGAGUUCCGGUUUGAUUGGGUGACUAAUAAAAUCUACCUCACAAAGAAUAACAAAGCAUAUGCUUUAUCAUUUAUGCUUAAGAAUGAGUAAUUUCACUAUUAGUUAUUAAAUUGUAUGGCAGGUACAGCUUAGGCUCUUCCCAGGCAAUCAGCCAUGUGG